GGAGGAAAGCAGGGGAUCGUAAGACCUUGCGUUAAUGGAGCGGCCGAUAUCUGAUUAGCUAGUUGGUGAGGUAAAGGCUCACCAAGGCGACGAUCAGUAGCUGGUUUGAGAGAACGACCAGCCACACUGGAACUGAGACACGGUCCAGACUCCUACGGGAGGCAGCAGUGGGGAAUUUUGGACAAUGGGGGCAACCCUGAUCCAGCCAUUCCGCGUGAGUGAAGAAGGCCUUCGGGUUGUAAAGCUCUUUCGCAAGGGAAGAAAACUUAUGAUCGAAUAAAUCAUGAGGUUGACGGUACCUUGAUAAGAAGCACCGGCUAACUACGUGCCAGCAGCCGCGGUAAUACGUAGGGUGCGAGCGUUAAUCGGAAUUACUGGGCGUAAAGCGUGCGCAGGCGGUUUUGUAAGUCGGAUGUGAAAUCCCCGGGCUCAACCUGGGAACUGCG
rnacentral:rRNA from 1 species